GCAUACGGCCAUUCCACCCUGAACACCGCCGAUCUCGUCUGAUCUCAGAAGCUAAGCAGGGUCAGGCCUGCUUAGUACUUGGAUGGAAGACCACCUAGGAAGACCGGUGCCAUAGGCA
rnacentral:rRNA from 1 species